AUUAGCUAUAGUCGGCUAAUAGUUUAAUGAAUUCUAAAAACUAUGCAUUAAAAAGGAGAAAUCCUAUCUUUGAAAAACUAUAGCCUUGGCCGACAGGUUCAGACAAUCUUUGAAAUUUCAUCAUGAUGGGGAUAGAUCAUUGUCAUUGUUGGUCUUCAACGAGGAAUACCUAGUAAGCGUAAGCCAUCGUGUUGACUACGUCCC
rnacentral:ncRNA from 1 species